GAUGAACGCUGGCGGCGUGCCUAAUACAUGCAAGUCGAGCGAACAGACGAGGAGCUUGCUCCUCUGACGUUAGCGGCGGACGGGUGAGUAACACGUGGAUAACCUACCUAUAAGACUGGGAUAACUUCGGGAAACCGGAGCUAAUACCGGAUAAUAUAUUGAACCGCAUGGUUCAAUAGUGAAAGACGGUUUUGCUGUCACUUAUAGAUGGAUCCGCGCCGCAUUAGCUAGUUGGUAAGGUAACGGCUUACCAAGGCAACGAUGCGUAGCCGACCUGAGAGGGGGGGAGGCCACAGUGGGACGGGGACCGGGACCAGAGGGCGCCGGGAGGCAGCAGGAGGGAAUCGGCGGGAAUGGGCGGAAGCCGGACAGAACAACGCAGAGGGAAGGAAAGAGGUCUUCGGAUAGGAAAACUGUGUGAUGAGGAAAGAACAAAUGGGCAAGGAACUAUGCACGUCAUGACGGUACCUAAUCAGAAAGCGACGACUAACCACGUG
rnacentral:rRNA from 1 species